CCCUUAGAUGUCCUGGGCUGCACGCGCGCUACACUGGAAGUUACGGAUUGAGAUACUACCUUGUCCGAAAUGGUCCGGGUAAUCACCUAAAAGCUUGUCAUAAUUGGAAUGGAUUAUUGUAACUAGUAAUCCUGAACGAGGAAUUCCUAGUAAGUCCCAGUCAACAGCUGGUACUGAUUACGUCCCUGCCCUUUGUACACACCGCCCGUCGCUACUACUGAUUGGACGUUUAAGCAAGAUUUUUAAACACUGACAGUGUGUAGUUCACGCUAUACUACAGUGAGAAGAAGAAGAUCGAGCUUACUAGUCUAGAGGAAGUAAAAGUCGUAACA
rnacentral:rRNA from 1 species